GUCCAGGGAUGGGAAUCGAACCCACAGUGUUCCGCUGUAACCUCUCUCCCUACUGUUGACUAGAUGUCUAUAAACUAUUUUUAAUUAUCAAUUGUUACAGUGUUCCGCUUACUGGGCAGAUGCCAUGUCCACUAGGCUACCCUGGA